CAUAAAAAGUACAUGGGGCUGAGUUCAGUGACUGGAAAUCACAGAGGAGAUAGGGCAGGGAGCGGAGGUGAGUCAACCUCAUCUGCCUCAGCAGGACCCUGGAGCCUACUCAUGCUUUGAUCACCAAGUAGAUCAGUAACGCAUUCACCGCCUCACUUUGCAGAGUUGCUCUCAUUUACCAAGUAAAAAUGUUCUAUCAAAUUCCACAGUUUUGGGAACAAGGACAAGUGAUUCUGUUCAACCUCAAUUAAUUUGGUUUAUAGAACAUAAAAAAAAAGUAAAGGGCCUCUUUAUGCUUUUGCAAAAAGCUUAGAAGUCAUAGUUUGAAGCUACUCAAAGACUAAACCUCAACAGAGGUCAAGUGUAUGUUUUUCUCUCCCUAUUAAAUGCAACUUUUGCCAGCUCAACCCAUCGCAAUGUUCUUCUACCACACUUGACUUCACUUUUAAGCGACCCAAGAUGCCUUUGCAAAACAUGGAGGCAUAAAGAAGAGCUGGAUGGUUGUGUACUGUAGGCAAGACUGUCUCUGUCAGAGUUAGCUUUAAUGUGUGCUCUAAAACCUCUUCAGCUCCAGAGCAGUGCAGCUCUUGUUUACCAGGAAGAGAAUGAGGUGGGACGUUACAUAAGAUUGAGUCUGCCUUUCACAAAAAGCGACCGAUGCUGAGUGCUGCAGCUGCUUCUGCAGGACAGGACGACCCCUAUGUGUCCUGCUCACAGACAGAGCUCCCAUGAGACACAAGGGAGGAUGAAUACUCUCUCCUUGCCCCACACCGUCUCCCUCAGCCCACCCCCAUUUUCUCUCCAUCGCCUGGACUGAGUCUGAGGCUGCCACACGCACCGGCUGCAAUGCCCUUCGGCCUUGGACAGUCUGGUUCCAGCUCCACCGAAGCUCUUAAUAACUGAGAAAGCCAAACAUGAGGGCCCGUUGGCUGCAGCCGUACCCAUCAGCCCCCACCCACAGGCCCCCGGACUAACCCACAGGCCUCUCUGUCUGCUGCUGAGCUUUGGAAACAGCUGUGCAGUCAUAACAGAGUGUGUGCCCAGACUCAACUCAUGUUUUUUGUUGCUUCAAAGGCAAUCUGAUACACCAUCCCCUGAAACACGCAGACACAAUCACACGCACAUGCUUGCCCACAUGUAUAUUCACAGCAUGUACAAACAGUGCUAAGAUGAAAUGUUCAGGAUACCAGUCUUGCCAAAUCUAAAACCACAUAAUUAAGAGAAAUUAUCUUAAGUUUAAGGUGCAUAACAUAAACUGGACAACAUGGGUUGAUUUGAAAAUGUACCCUUUUCUAACUACAAAAAACAUACCUAUACAUAUUCACCACAGGUUCUGACUGAAAUGAACACUAGUGGCAGUAAAACACCAACAACUUUUAAUCCUUUUUACACAAAUUGUUUAUGGGGACAGAUCAUCAAUCUUGCAAGGUUCCUCAAACAGUAUCAAGAAGGCUUUUACUGUAAAGCAUGAUUUGUAACCCAUUACAUUUUGACAUUUUUUUUUCAAUAAAAAACUCAAGCUAUAGUACA
ensembl:lncRNA